GGCGUCAGUAGUGCAACUGGUUAAGCACGCGCCCCUGAAAAGGGUGAAUUGCGGGUUUGAACCCUACCGGACGUCA